UGCAUAGCUUAUGCCGUUGACAUAAAUUUCGUUGCAUAAAAAUAUUUAUGUAUUGUUUUAGCUUAUGACGCGAUUUAAUCAUCAUUACAUAAACUGAAUAGUCAUGAACGAGCCUGUUGACAUAAACUUGGCAUAAGUUGUCAUUUUUCAGCCGCAGGAAGCUCUUGCGAAAAAGGGUCUUCGGCUUUCUAUUUGGACGGGAUAGAGGCCUAUUUUGGUGACCCACACAAAUGGUGAGAAGAGGUAAAGAGAGAAAGGGGCACAGCAACUGGAAGGAGAGGGAAGUCCAGACACUCUACCACUGUCUGCUAUUGAAUACGAAGUCUCUCUUUGGAUCAGGGGGUCAAGCUUCUAGUAUGAAGAUUGUUCAAGAGUCAAGACUGUUGAAGAGGUGACGUCAUGGACCUGGUAGCACCUGGCAAGGGAACUAUAUUACUGUUCACACUCAAGUAUCCUAUAAACGCUUUAAAAAUUUUAACAUUAACAAAAGUACUAAUUUUCAUUUUUUCAAAGAUAAUAAUCA
rnacentral:lncRNA from 1 species